AUAUUAUAGCUCUCUUUCCACCCUCCAUCAAAAUCUGAAAGACCACUCUAUCUUCAGAUAGUUCAAAGAUAAAGAAUGCCCCUUUCCCCCACCCUUCUGCAGUGUCUGUCCACUUUAUCCUCAAUGAGAAGCAUCUCCUUAUCAUUCCAAUCCCCAACUGAAAGAGAGUAAUUGAAUGAAUAUAUCCUCAAAUUUCAACAGAAGACAAGUCACAGUAUGGGGCCUUCGUUCCAGCUACAAGGAUAUUGUCCAAAGAGAGCAUAGAAGUGAUUCACUGUGCAGUGAAAUGAUUGGGAUGGCGGACAAGGCUAUGCAGAUAUACGCAUCCAUGAUUGGCCUUCUUCUUCUUCUUCCCCCGAUAAGUUCACUUUCACCAUAUCGUUCAGAUAUCUACAAACAUGACCUCGUGGAAACUCUCAAACAAGACUGUCUUCACUAUGUGGAUUCCCCUCAUGCCAGAACCAGACAUGUCGAUUUCGUAUGAAAUUUUCUAUCAACGAGCGGUUCACGAUGGCGGUUGUUGCAGCAAUCCUGGAAAUUUACAGCGGCAAGCAACAGUCUUGUUUAGAUUGUUUGUGGGUGGUGCUACCGUAUAUCUGAUUCUGAUAUUGAUUUCAGUAUGUUAGAAAAGUAUACUAGUUUUGUUGGCUUCUUCUCAUAUUACUAAACAUUGUUACUCUUAGCAUAUGAACCAUGAUGUUGUACUGAAAAUA